AAGCGUGCGCAGGCGGUUUUGUAAGACUGUCGUGAAAUCCCCGGGCUCAACCUGGGAAUGGCGAUGGUGACUGCAAGGCUAGAGUUUGGCAGAGGGGGGUAGAAUUCCACGUGUAGCAGUGAAAUGCGUAGAUAUGUGGAGGAACACCGAUGGCGAAGGCACGCCCCCUGGGUCAAAACUGACGCUCAUGCACGAAAGCGUGGGGAGCAAACAGGAUUAGAUACCCGAGU
rnacentral:rRNA from 1 species